rnacentral:lncRNA from 1 species
AUAGAAAGUGUCCGACUCGCUUUGGCGCUACGCUUUCACAUUCAAUUUAAUUAUCGCCUUCAUUUUAAAUAAUUUGUCAAGCAGUAUGUGUAAGCACAACUCAAACAUGCUGUGUUUGACUUUUAUUACAGCUGUGUGAGCCCAGAUGUUUAUCACAGAAGCAAACAGAAAUGGAAAAAGGAAUGCGAACAUCAGAGAUGGAGAAGAUCUGGCGAGAAGAAAUUCCUUUUUUCCUGCACUGAAUCUUCCACUUCUCUCCAAACCUGCGCUCUGCUCUGCUCGUCUGUUCCUAGUGUGCCUUUCCAUAAGACUGGCUCCUGCCUGAGGCAGGCGAAGUCUGCUUUCAGCUGAAACUUCAAGAAGAAAAAUUGCGUCAUCUUUGAAAAUGU